GGAUGUGAGGGUGAUCUGACUGUGACAUCUGUCACCCCAUUGAUUGCCAGGGUUGAUUUGGCUGAUCUAGCUGGCUAGGCAGGUGUCCCCUUCCUCCCUCACUGCUCCAUGUGCAUCCCUCCCAAAGCUGUGCUCUCAGUCGAAGAGGACGGCCUUCCCGGAAUAGAGACAGACAGGUCUUCGGUCAAGGGUAUACCAGUAUCUGCACUCCCCUGCUAGAACUUCCAAACAAGCUCUCAAAAUUGUCAAGAUUAUCAAAAAUAAUAAAAGUUCAAAAAACUGUCUCUGCUAAGAGCCAAGGGAGAAUAAAUACAAUGUGGUAUCAUGAGCAGGAUCUUUCUUUUUUU
rfam:Erinaceus europaeus unplaced genomic scaffold scaffold00587, whole genome shotgun sequence